CACUCUUGAGCCACAGGGGCUUUCUGAUCUUUCUCAUCUUCCAGGACGGUCACCCUGGCUGCUGCAUGCACAGGAGGAAGGCUGGGACAGGGGCCUAGGAGGCUGCUUUCCUACUCCUGUUGGGGGUGAUGAUGGCCUAACAAGCUACAGAUGCUGUUCCUAGGUAAGGAGGUUGAAGCAAUGGCAGAGGACCCAGGUUCAGUUCCUAGCAUACACGUGGAGGCUCAAAGUCAUCUGUAACUCUGGUUUCAGAGCAUCGGACGCCCUCUUCUGGUCUUUAUGGGCAUGAAUGUGAUGUACAUAUAUACACAUGUAGGCAAAUUAAACAAAAAAGAUUCCCAUCUAAAUCACAAAAUAAACUUCCCAAACAUUUAAAA